rnacentral:rRNA from 1 species
GACGAACGCUGGCGGCGUGCCUAAUACAUGCAAGUAGAACGCACAGUUUAUACCGUAGCUUGCUACACCAUAGACUGUGAGUUGCGAACGGGUGAGUAACGCGUAGGUAACCUGCCUGGUAGCGGGGGAUAACUAUUGGAAACGAUAGCUAAUACCGCAUAAUAUUAAUUAUUGCAUGAUAAUUAAUUGAAAGGUGCAAUUGCACCACUACCAGAUGGACCUGCGUUGUAUUAGCUAGUAGGUGAGGUAACGGCUCACCUAGGCGACGAUACAUAGCCAACCUGAGAGGGUGAUCGGCCACACUGGGACUGAGACACGGCCCAGACUCCUACGGGAGGCAGCAGUAGGGAAUCUUCGGCAAUGGACGAAAGUCUGACCGAGCAACGCCGCGUGAGUGAAGAAGGUUUUCGGAUCGUAAAGCUCUGUUGUAAGAGAAGAACGGGUGUGAGAGUGGAAAGUUCACACUGUGACGGUAUCUGACCAGAAAGGGACGGCUAACUACGUG